GCGGGCGGAGGGCUGUGGCAAGCCAAUGGGCGCCGGCCCCGCCGCCUCGACCUCGCAGUGGUAGCGGCGCGAGCGAAGGGCCGUUGGGGCGAGACUCCAGAGCAGGGGAACUACCAUUGCAAGCCUGAAUUCAUUCAUCCGACAGAUACUGAAUGAUGAUCUGCACAUCAGAAAAGGCCACACAGUGAGGGGCAUUUAUAAAAAGGAUCCACUUCCUGGCUACAAAUCAUAACUGCUCUUAGCUGUGACCCCAAGACUGCACACAGUGAUGCCCUUAGUUCCAGAGUCACGCUCGAGGAAUUCUAGCAUUCCUGAGGAAAUCCAGCCACACCCUUGACUGGUAGACAACCUCGCACCAGCCCACGACACGUGCUCCAUUCUCCAGCUUCACAGGGCUACGUGCUACUGCCACAGGUGAACUGCUCUUUCAUGAAUCAACACACCCUGCUGACAAGUUCCCACACACUCUGAGACCCUGGGCAAACAGGUCCCCUCUGGGGGCUCACCCUUCGACCUGCUCAUGGCACACAGGUGGUUGCUCAGUGUAUGGCUCUUUCCAGGGUGAGGGACACUCCUGCCCUGGAAGCGUCCACAGUGCCCACCCAUUCAAUGGGAUACAUAUGGCCACGUGCAUGAAUUCAACAAGGCCACACACACAGGGUAAGCUGUUGUCCGCCACACCACUGGGUGGCUUCAUAACUCCACCGCUAUCCCACGAUCGAGACGUGGAAAAAGAACCCACUCCUUGCUGUCUUCCUGCUUGAAAGUGUGAAGUUUUAAUAUGCAGGCUGAGUUAAACAGAGGUGUAACUGAGGAUGACACCAGGGACAAACCCUAUUUAGGACAAGACAAUGACAUACGAGCUAUAAAAAUGCCUAAUUAAGGACACUACUAGAAGGGAAGUCUCCAUGUUAAAGCACAGUCUGAGAGUUCAUCUACUGACCCCUUGAAUUCCUGGCUGAAGCAAGGUGGCCACGGCAAGCUGCCUGCCCCCUCUCAAAUCCAGACCGCCUCUCAGAGCAGGUCAAACCGUGAGGGCCAGAGGAGGGCUCAGCUCUGCAAAGAUAUGAAGCACUGGCCACUUUAGGACCCCGUAACAAUGAAGUAGACAUCCAAGGAUAUGCUUAGAUCAGUAACAGUUGUAACCAAAUGCCUGGCUGGGUCAAAGGCAAUUCUAACUUAAGCUAGAUGAGAGAAACCCAAAUAUCUGUCCUAAAUAUGAGCCGUGGGGAAGUAUACACAGAAGAAACGAAAAAACAUAAAAAUUAUAUAAAGCUUCAAUUAUCUAUAUAGGUAAUAUUCUCAACACCUUUAAGUUCCAAAAUAAUCCUAAACUCUAUGUGGAAAAUACCUGAGGUAAAACACAAUCUUUGAGCAGGAAACAGAGAAAAAGUACUGUUUCAAAUGUUUGGCAGACUUCAUGCAAAUGUUGAAAAGUGUGGACAAAACAAAAGGCUGAGAAAAAUGAGAGCCAGAGACUCCAUGACAGGGGACAGCCAGCUCCCCCAUCUUGCAAACAGGAGCUCUGAGGACCUAAGAGUGCCCACGUAGAUGUGUUCCUCAAUAGCUCCUGAGGGAGAUGCUGUGUUUUGAGGCUAACCACAGCCCCGGCCUGUGGACUCUGCCUCAUUCAGGGCCAACCCCCAGACUACCGUACCUGCACUGCACCCACAGCUUAGACCGCCAAAGUGCCAUCAAUCGCUGUCACUUGUGAGGAACCUCAAGCUGCUAUUUAUUUGUCCUCUGCAACAUCCCACCCUGGAUGACCCCCUGGCCUUCCCUUCCCAUACUGACCGCCCCAUACCUUAACUGUGGCUCAAAAACGAACAGCUACAGGAACCUCGCUAGCUCCUACAGUGGCCAUCUCACAGCCCCCCUAGCUUCAGAUUCUCUGUCUCCCCCUCUCCUCUGUCCCUCCCCCGCUCCUGCUUGGUCUCUCUCUCUCUCUCUCUCUCUCUCAAAAACAAACAUUAAAAAAAAAAAAAUAAUGGAACCCCUUAAAUUCAGUUUAGCAGGUAUUUUCUUGAGAUCUUAAACUAGAAGUUAAGAGUGGUCACAGCAACAGCAAGAACAUUAAUUUGACCAAGAAUAGCUGGGAUGAACUAGAAAGUAUAAAAACAAGAACUACAAGCAUAUACAUUAGCCAGACUUCCUCACACACCAAUGAGGACCAAAAAUACUCGAAGAAACAGUGUGCUUUACACCAGAGAACACUAGCGGCUGGUCAAGAGAAAGGUCCACAGACCCAAAGACUGAAUCUCAAAUGAAACUACUUUUGAUUCCUGUGGUGAAGUGGGUAGAAGGAUUAGUUUCCAUUUAGUCUAGUCGACUCUGUCCGAGGCCUAAUUACUCCAGGCUUCCAGGCUCUCUCUGGACACACCAGAACAACUUACAAGGUUUGUAGUUCUUCUCAUGACAAGGGGAGCAGUCCAGAGGCUUGCCAUGCAUGAUGGGGUCUCUUCAUCAUUCUAAAGAAAGAGAAACACUUAAAAGAUUCAGUAGAGACUAAGUUUGAAUGCUUUAGGUAUGAUUCUGCCUGAGGAGUAUCAGACUCGCCCAUAGGAAGCAUCUAAUGUUCGCUCCUCUUUCCCACUCCCCAAUAUGUUAAGAUCAGAAGAGAAUCACAUUUCACAAUUCAGACAUCUGAACGUAGCUAAAAGCAUCCCGCUACCCUGAGGGUACUGAGGAGGUAGGCUGUCCCUCUGGCUUGUCCUACACUGUUCUUGUUCCAUGUCUCUUGUACAAAAUAACUGUCACCUUCUUCAGGGUAAGAAGGAGCCUAUCACUCUCUUCUUUUGAAGAACCCUGUCCCCCCUCAGAUUUAAUUAGACUAGGAGCAGAGUCUCAAUAAAUCCCCACCAGAUGAGCAAAAAUAUCAGCCAGCUCAAGCCCUGGGGAAUUGCUGUUGUUUUUCACAUCACUUUUCCAGAGUACUUAGUGGAACGGGUAGAAACACACACACACUACCUUCAGGUUCUCUCCUUCAAGAAGGUCCAUGAAGCCAUCAUCCUCAUCAGACAAAGUGGCAGUCACAGGGGACUGGGGCAUAAAAAGAGGAAUGAAAUUCCCUGGCUCGCUGCUCUCUCUUUCAUUCGAGGAAAGCUGGAAGACGAAUUCACAGCUUGUUAAUGAUCAGACUUGAUUUCCUUGGAUGGGUCACUAGAUUUUAUGAGGAAAACAUACUAUAUUUAUUAGAACUAAUAUUUUGGCAGCUACUAAGCAAAGGAUAACGUAUCCUAAGAUGAGAAAUGAUUUGACGUCUACACAUAGUCCUGAGUAGAAUCAGGCCUAGGAGCCUUCGCAAAAGACUUCCCAGAAGCGAUUCACCUUACACUGGGAUGUGGGGAUGGCCUCUUUUAUGAAGGGCAAGGUUUGUUUUAUCAGAGGAUUGUAAUCAGUAAACACGGAUCAACAUGCAGGUUUUGAUAUAGUACUGUCACCUGAUCCUAGUUCUUUAAACUUGGAAUUCAAAUGACAGGUGCUCAGUUUUUAACUGAGGAAUUACUGUGUGCCAGACACAACGAUACAAUCUUAAGUGUUUACUCCCACUGACGCCUGACAAUGCAUUAAGGUGCUUCCCAAAGCCAGGAAAAAUGUUCAGAGAUAUAUUUUUUUUUCCCCACAGUAACAAGGCAGUCUCAACUUAAGUCCUACAAAGAAUCCUUCAGAAGCCCCAAAUCCCUUUGGAUAGGACUUCAUUAAUCCUCAAGUGGCCUUCUGGUUUUUGGACUCAGUCACUCACCCAGGGAGGGAUCCUCUCUGCCCCUGGCCUACACUGCUUUGGGCACCGGCUUGCUUCAUAAAAGUUCUAGGCUGCCCCUGAACCUCCACAAGUGCUCCUGAGCACGCCCUGGGCACACCGGCAAGUUCUCAGCCGCCAGAACCAAGAAGCUGGUAACCUUAUUGUAGGACAAUACACUGAAGGCUCAUACUAGAAUACCAGUAUUUGUGACCUGGAUUUUCUGGGAUCCCCAGUGAAGGUGUGAUACAAUAAAUGAUGGACAAGUCAUCUAUAAUGAAGGAUGGCCAGGUGACCACAAUAAACUCUGAUGCUGUGGUCUUCAA